rnacentral:misc_RNA from 1 species
AGAAGCCACCAUAUGAGUUAAGGCAGCAUAACGUUCCUCAUUUAGAUACAAUGGUUUUCCCCUAUGCAUGUCAAUAUCCUCUUCUCCAAAUACAUCCAAAUAAGGUGACGGCCACGGUGCCUGACGAGCAGACCUUUGGAGCAAUACAGUAGUUUUUCUGAUCAACAAGAACACCCCAGUAACAGCACCACAGGCCAUUGCAUGAGUUUGACACCCACUUUCUCUGCAGCAUGUCUUCCAACUUGCUGAACACAAUUUACCACAUAACAAGCACAAAGCAGGAUCCUUCUGAACAGCUCCGCAAUCUGGGCACUUCUGUUUAAUAUACCUCUGCAAGAGAUCCUGAUAAAGAUGAGGCAAAAGCAUCAGU